rnacentral:rRNA from 1 species
UACACACUGUCCGUCACACCAUGGGAGCGGGUUCUGCCAGAAGUAGUUAGCCUAACCGCAAGGAGGGCGAUUACCACGGCAGGGUUCGUGACUGGGGUG